rnacentral:rRNA from 2 species
UACGGAGGAUCCAAGCGUUAUCCGGAUUUAUUGGGUUUAAAGGGUGCGUAGGCGGCCUAUUAAGUCAGGGGUGAAAGACGGUGGCUCAACCAUCGCAGUGCCUUUGAUACUGAUGGGCUUGAAUGCAGCUGAGGUAGGCGGAAUGUGACAAGUAGCGGUGAAAUGCAUAGAUAUGUCACAGAACACCGAUUGCGAAGGCAGCUUACUAAAGUGCAAUUGACGCUGAGGCACGAAAGCGUGGGGAUCAAACAGG